rnacentral:rRNA from 2 species
CGGCGGUAAUACGUAGGGUGCAAGCGUUAAUCGGAAUUACUGGGCGUAAAGCGUGCGCAGGCGGUUUGUUAAGACGGAUGUGAAAUCCCCGGGCUCAACCUGGGAACUGCAUUCGUGACUGGCAGGCUAGAGUAUGGCAGAGGGGGGUGGAAUUCCACGUGUAGCAGUGAAAUGCGUAGAGAUGUGGAGGAACACCGAUGGCGAAGGCAGCCCCCUGGGCCAAUACUGACGCUCAUGCACGAAAGCGUGGGGAGCAAACAGGAUUAGAUACCCUGGUAGUCCACGCCCUAAACGAUGUCAACUAGUUGUUGGGGAUUCAUUUCCUUAGU